rnacentral:rRNA from 1 species
UACGAAGGACCCGAGCGUUAUCCGGAUUUAUUGGGUUUAAAGGGUGCGUAGGCGUCCUGGAAAGUUACGGUUGAAAUCUCCUUACUCAACAAGGAAACUGGCCGUAAAACUAUCAGGAUUGAGUACAUUUGAAGCGGGCGGAAUGUGUCAUGUAGCGGUGAAAUGCUUAGAUAUGACACAGAACACCAAUUGCGAAGGCAGCUCGCUAAACUGUAACUGACGCUGAGGCACGAAAGCGUGGGGAUCAAACAGG